rnacentral:lncRNA from 1 species
CGGGCGGGCGCGGCCGCUGGCGUCUGUCGGGGCUGGACGUCGGGGCGUCUGCUUUCGGGGCCGCUGCAGGGGCCGGUGCGGAGCGCGGGGCCGCGGGGCCUGCGGAGUGUGUGUGCGCGCGUGUGUCCGUGAGUGUGCACGCGCGCGUGUGUCCGUGAGUGUGUCGCUCCGUGCGCGCGCUGCACGCCCUGCGCGUUGCUGUCCGGGGCGAGUGUCCCCGCGCGGGCCCGGCACGGGGCAGCCCCGCUGAAGCUCUCAGGUGUGCCGGGGAGCCAGCGGCCUGCCGCGGACGCCCGCGGAGGGGCUGCGGGCGGCAGAGUGCGGUCCUGGGGUGCACGCCAGGGCAGAAUUUGAGCACUUUGCGUCCUCCCCCGUCCGGGCGAAGGCGCGGCUGAAGCGUGGUCGUCACCAGGUCGCCGCCAGCCUCCUACGAGUUCAGAAAGUGCGCGACAGGAAUCAUUGAUUCAUAUCAACGUGUUUGUUUUGUUCAGUCAAGAGAUUGUGAUAACUGAACAAUUUCCUCUUUCAACUAAACUUGGAAAAACUAUGUCCAGUUUCAAAUGCAAGCAUGUCACAGGUAUUAACCAUCCCUAGCCCCAAAUAUUGGAAGGUGGAAAACCAGGCCAAACGUGUAUGACUGAGUGAGCAUGGCCUCAACCAAUGAAGUUUUGCUGUGGCACUCUGGUCACCCUCUGAGAACGCCUGCCUCCUCGACCCUCACAAACCCUGGGAGAAUCAGAAUUAAUCCCUGGAAACAUGGCGGACUGGUUUCCUCUGAGCAGUUUGCCCUUAUGUACAGAAGUGUCCAUAGUGACUACUCACCGGGCCAUGUAAGUUGUAGGCGUCCUAGAAUGGCAAACUACAUUGUUAAUGUAUCUCUCACAAUUGAUCAAAGUAUUCAGGAGAAAUGUAAUGUUCCAGGCACAAGGAGGCCCCAUGUACCAGCUGGAGUUCCUAAGCAAACAUAA